rnacentral:ncRNA from 2 species
UUCCAAGUCUAGAUGUAAUAUAUUAAGAAACAGAUCAACUUUGGCAGUCAAGAUGAAAAUAUACUGAAUCAUGAAUGUUUGCAUUUGGUGAUCGGGGCUUCAUAGAGAACAUAUUGAGGGAUUCUUGUGCUGGCACCAGCUGCUUAACCAUCAAGGAUUCUGUUAUGAAAUACUAUUCCUGGAAGAAGGCCUUUUGAGGAAUGAAGUAUAUCCUCUUUGAG